GGGGCAUCCCGACUUACCAAACCGAUGCAAACUCCGAAUACCCAGAAGUGCCGAGCAUGGGAGACACACGGCGGGUGCUAACGUCCGUCGUGAAAAGGGAAACAACCCAGACCGCCAGCUAAGGUCCCAAAGUUGUGGUUAAGUGGUAAACGAUGUGGGAAGGCUUAGACAGCUAGGAGGUUGGCUUAGAAGCAGCCACCCUUUAAAGAAAGCGUAAUAGCUCACUAGUCGAGUCGGCCUGCGCGGAAGAUGUAACGGGGCUCAAACCACACACCGAAGCUGCGGGUGUCACGCAAGUGACGCGGUAGAGGAGCGUUCUGUAAGCCUGUGAAGGUGAGUUGAGAAGCUUGCUGGAGGUAUCAGAAGUGCGAAUGCUGACAUGAGUAACGACAAUGGGUGUGAAAAACACCCACGCCGAAAGACCAAGGGUUCCUGCGCAACGUUAAUCGACGCAGGGUUAGUCGGUUCCUAAGGCGAGGCUGAAAAGCGUAGUCGAUGGGAAACAGGUUAAUAUUCCUGUACUUCUGGUUACUGCGAUGGAGGGACGGAGAAGGCUAGGCCAGCUUGGCGUUGGUUGUCCAAGUUUAAGGUGGUAGGCUGAAAUCUUAGGUAAAUCCGGGGUUUCAAGGCCGAGAGCUGAUGACGAGUCGUCUUUUAGAUGACGAAGUGGUUGAUGCCAUGCUUCCAAGAAAAGCUUCUAAGCUUCAGGUAACCAGGAACCGUACCCCAAACCGACACAGGUGGUCGGGUAGAGAAUACCAAGGCGCUUGAGAGAACUCGGGUGAAGGAACUAGGCAAAAUGGCACCGUAACUUCGGGAGAAGGUGCGCCGGCUAGGGUGAAGGAUUUACUCCGUAAGCCCUGGCUGGUCGAAGAUACCAGGCCGCUGCGACUGUUUAUUAAAAACACAGCACUCUGCAAACACGAAAGUGGACGUAUAGGGUGUGACGCCUGCCCGGUGCCGGAAGGUUAAUUGAUGGGGUUAGCGCAAGCGAAGCUCUUGAUCGAAGCCCCGGUAAACGGCGGCCGUAACUAUAACGGUCCUAAGGUAGCGAAAUUCCUUGUCGGGUAAGUUCCGACCUGCACGAAUGGCGUAACGAUGGCGGCGCUGUCUCCACCCGAGACUCAGUGAAAUUGAAAUCGCUGUGAAGAUGCAGUGUAUCCGCGGCUAGACGGAGAGACCCCGUGAACCUUUACUGUAGCUUUGCACUGGACUUUGAGCCUGCUUGUGUAGGAUAGGUGGGAGGCUUUGAAGCGUGGACGCCAGUUCGCGUGGAGCCAUCCUUGAAAUACCACCCUGGCAUGCUUGAGGUUCUAACUCUGGUCCGUGAUCCGGAUCGAGGACAGUGUAUGGUGGGCAGUUUGACUGGGGCGGUCUCCUCCUAAAGAGUAACGGAGGAGUACGAAGGUGCGCUCAGACCGGUCGGAAAUCGGUCGUAGAGUAUAAAGGCAAAAGCGCGCUUGACUGCGAGACAGACACGUCGAGCAGGUACGAAAGUAGGUCUUAGUGAUCCGGUGGUUCUGUAUGGAAGGGCCAUCGCUCAACGGAUAAAAGGUACUCCGGGGAUAACAGGCUGAUACCGCCCAAGAGUUCAUAUCGACGGCGGUGUUUGGCACCUCGAUGUCGGCUCAUCACAUCCUGGGGCUGAAGCCGGUCCCAAGGGUAUGGCUGUUCGCCAUUUAAAGUGGUACGCGAGCUGGGUUUAGAACGUCGUGAGACAGUUCGGUCCCUAUCUGCCGUGGACGUUUGAGAUUUGAGAGGGGCUGCUCCUAGUACGAGAGGACCGGAGUGGACGAACCUCUGGUGUUCCGGUUGUCACGCCAGUGGCAUUGCCGGGUAGCUAUGUUCGGAAAAGAUAACCGCUGAAAGCAUCUAAGCGGGAAACUUGCCUCAAGAUGAGAUCUCACUGGGAACUUGAUUCCCCUGAAGGGCCGUCGAAGACUACGACGUUGAUAGGCUGGGUGUGUAAGCGUUGU
rnacentral:rRNA from 1 species